rnacentral:rRNA from 1 species
ACUCAAAGGAAUUGACGGGGGCCCGCACAAGCGGUGGAGCAUGUUGUUUAAUACGUCACUAACCGUAGAACCUUACCAGGUCUUGACAUCUGUGGAACCCUUUGGAAACAGAGGGGUGCCUUUCGGGGAGCCACAAGACAGGUGUUGCAUGGCUGUCGUCAGCUCGUGUCGUGAGAUGUUGGGUUAAGUCCCGCAACGAGCGCAACCCUCAUCCAGUGUUGCUACCAGGUUAAGCUGGGCACUCUCUGGAAACUGCCCGUGCAAGCGGGAGGAAGGUGGGGAUGACGUCAAGUCAGCAUGGCCCUUACGACCUGGGCUACAAACAUGCUACAAUGGCGCGUACAAAGGGCUGCAAGCCGGCGACGGCAAGCCAAUCCCAAAAAGCGCGUCCCAGUUCGGAUCGGAGUCUGCAACUCGACUCCGUGAAGUCGGAAUCGCUAGUAACCGCAGGUCAGCUAUACUGCGGUGAAUACGUUCCCGGGCCUUGCACACACCGCCCGU